rnacentral:tRNA from 1 species
GCGGACGUGGCGAAACUGGUAAACGCUCUUGUUCGGGGAACAAGCGAUGCACCACAUCUUGCGGGUUCGAGUCCCGCCGUCCGCA